AUCGGUAGCUGGUCUGAGAGGAUGAUCAGCCACACUGGGACUGAGACACGGCCCAGACUCCUACGGGAGGCAGCAGCAAGGAAUCUUGGGCAAUGGGCGAAAGCCUGACCCAGCAACGCCGCGUGAGGGAUGAAGGCUUUCGGGUUGUAAACCUCUUUUCAUAGGGAAGAGUAAUGACGGUACCUGUGGAAUAAGCUUCGGCUAACUACGUGCCAGCAGCCGCGGUAAUACGUAGGAAGCAAGCGUUAUCCGGAUUUAUUGGGCGUAAAGUGAGCGUAGGUGGUCUUUCAAGUUGGAUGUGAAAUUUCCCGGCUUAACCGGGACGAGUCAUUCAAUACUGUUGGACUAGAGUACAGCAGGAGAAAACGGAAUUCCCGGUGUAGUGGUAAAAUGCGUAGAUAUCGGGAGGAACACCAGAGGUGAAGGCGGUUUUCUAGGUUGUCACUGACACUGAGGCUCGAAAGCGUGGGGAGCGAACAGAAUUAGAUACUCUGGUAGUCCACGCCUUAAACUAUGGACACUAGGUAUAGGGAGUAUUGACCCUCUCUGUGCCGAAGCUAACGCUUUAAGUGUCCCGCCUGGGGAGUACGGUCGCAAGGCUAAAACUCAAAGGAAUUGACGG
rnacentral:rRNA from 1 species